UCCGGUAUGGUGUAACGGCUAACAUUGCCGCCUUUCAUGAGAGAUUUAGACUGUAAUAUUCUCGCGGCAGCUCGGGGUUCGAUUCCCCGUACCGGAA